AUUGAACGCUGGCGGAAUGCUUUACACAUGCAAGUCGAGCGGCAGCGCGGGGGCAACCCUGGCGGCGAGCGGCGAACGGGUGAGUAACAUAUCGGAACGUACCCCGUCGUGGGGGAUAACUACCCGAAAGGGUAGCUAAUACCGCAUACGACCUGAGGGUGAAAGCGGGGGACCGAAAGGCCUCGCGCGAUUGGAGCGGCCGAUGGCAGAUUAGGUAGUUGGUGGGGUAAAGGCUCACCAAGCCUUCGAUCUGUAGCUGGUCUGAGAGGACGACCAGCCACACUGGGACUGAGACACGGCCCAGACUCCUACGGGAGGCAGCAGUGGGGAAUUUUGGACAAUGGGCGAAAGCCUGAUCCAGCCAUUCCGCGUGCAGGAUGAAGGCCCUCGGGUUGUAAACUGCUUUUAUACGGAACGAAACGGCCUUUUCUAAUACAGAGGGCUAAUGACGGUACCGUAAGAAUAAGCACCGGCUAACUACGUG
rnacentral:rRNA from 1 species